GGAAAGGGGUUUGGAUGAAAUUGAAGACCUCACCAUUUCUGUCUGGCGCCUUCCGAUUUGAUGAGCUACCGUUCGGUGUGGGGGAGUCCAAGCUCUUUGCCUUGUCACGUGCCACGGACCAGUGUUUUAAAACAAGUCACUGGGCCCCGGUGCAGCAUUGGGGACAAAUAUUUGACAGAAAGCAGAAGGCAGCCCUCUUCUCUGCAAAGAUGUGAUGGGAGAGACCCCAAGGUCUACGCAGCUAGGAUCCAGCAAGUUCCAGGCUAGAAUGUCUCUCUCUAUUGACACAUUCUGGAGAAGUAACUAAGCCUUCCUGGACACGAGUUUUCCCAAAUGCAAAAUCACAAGAAAAGAUCUCAACCUACUUUAUAGAAUUUUUGCAAGGAAAACAGAACUACGCAGAAUGCUCUGUCAGACCGCCGUGAGACCGAAUGUGCAAAGAUGACAGUCACAAGGGUUGCUACGGAGACGUGACCUGACCUCACUCAAUACGUGCUGUCCGCCCCGUAAUCACUGUGUGUCUGGGGGGGGGGUGAGCCCCAGGAGCGGGUGACGCCUGGGACGUCAUCUUUGCAGGACCUUUCCGGCGUCUGGUGUAAAGGUGUAAAAUCACGACCCCGAGUCCCUUUCCCGCCCUUGUGGCCUGUCCCAGGAUGGCAGAUAAAGGCAGAUCAGUUUUUCUACGCAGACUUCACAGCUUAGCUCUCUAGGGAGUCCCGUUAAAAAUGAUUUGGGGGGCGCCUGGGUGGCUCAGUCGGUUAAGCCUCCGGCUUCAGCUCAGGUCAGA